GGGGCUUGGGUACGGUGGGAUAAACAAAAAAAUUGGAUAACAAAGGGUUUUGAACUCGGUAGUCAUGUUGUGUGAUUUUUCUUUCUCUUUUUUCUCGUGCAUCACGUAUACUCUGGGGGUUAAUUUCACUCUUUUGACUCUUUUCCUACUCGAAUUUUCCGAGCAUUUCAUAUGUUGUUAGAGUCUUAAGUCUCGGCAAGUGCAUUUUUCUCUUUUUUUUUCUCUUUUUUUUUCUUUUAAAGAAAAUACAUACUAUUUUUCUUUUUCUAUGAUCUCUUAUUAUGCACUUGCUUCUCUUUCAAGAUUUCCACCCCAAACUUAGUUUUCUUGCACAUUUUGCAAUUCACACAAUCAUACCGAGUUAUGAAAAAAAAAUGAAUGAUUAAAACUGAACAGGGGAUUUAUGAUAAAUAAUGCUUA
rnacentral:lncRNA from 1 species